ACUCAUAGCCAACAGCUCCUCUGGUGCUGAGAAACUCCUGGAUUUCAGGCAGGUAGUACAGUUUUACUGAUGUUGUUUUGCAUGGUAGCAGGGGAGGUCAGCUACUACAUCUCUGUCCAAGGCUGUCUAUAGUAAGAGAGAAAGUAGAGACCACUAUGGACCUGAUGGAGACCUAGUGACUCCAAAUGUGUAAUGAUACAAGUACAGUCUGGGACACGUCAGACAGAAGCUUUCUUAAAUAUGAUCACAGAAUGCUGGGUGGCAUCUGCUCCUCUGAUCUCCUGUUUUCUGCUGACAACAAACCUAUAUACUGUCUCAGGGGAAGAAAAGGAAAGAAGAGGAUAAGCAGUUAUUCAAGUGUUAACAAAAUCAGAACUGAGAUACUACAAUCAAAACAAGCUUCUUGGCUCAGCCCGCUGUCACCACUUCUUGCACAACAGUGUCCAAGAACUUUGCAGAUAAUUUUGUAAAUGCAAUACAGCAGGACAGAGAAAAUGAGUCUGAUGAAACGUGCAACCACCAUUAUUUUCAUUAAGCAACACAACUCCUGCAGGGAAGGUCUUCAUUUCAAUCUGCCCUAUCUCACCAUCGACCUUUGUUAUUUUACUAUAUGAGAUAAACCGUCAUCACUCUUCAUGUAAAGGAAUCCCGUAAUGCAAAUUCCUCUCUCUCAGCUAGCAUGAAAAUAAUUUUUUUCU